GAAUGUUACAGUUUUUUAGAAUUUGUCUAACAGGUUUUCCAGUCUUCACCAGAAAGCUCCC
ensembl:snRNA U7 U7 small nuclear RNA